rnacentral:siRNA from 1 species
GGGAAAAGGAACCGACUAAGACGU